ACGACUCUCGGCAACGGAUAUCCCGGCUCUCGCAUCGAUGAAGAACGUAGCGAAAUGCGAUACUUGGUGUGAAUUGCAGAAUCCCGUGAACCAUCGAGUUUUUGAACGCAAGUUGCGCCCGAUGCCAUUAGGCUGAGGGCACGUCUGCCUGGGUGUCACGUAAA
rnacentral:rRNA from 1 species